GCGUUGCUCGGAAUCACUGGGCGUAAAGCGCACGUAGGCGGCUUUUUAAGUCGGGGGUGAAAUCCUGGAGCUCAACUCCAGAACUGCCUUCGAUACUGAGAAGCUCGAGUCCGGGAGAGGUGAGUGGAACUGCGAGUGUAGAGGUGAAAUUCGUAGAUAUUCGCAAGAACACCAGUGGCGAAGGCGGCUCACUGGCCCGGUACUGACGCUGAGGUGCGAAAGCGUG
rnacentral:rRNA from 1 species